GAGGCAAAGCAUAGUAACACGGUUACCAAUGCUAAGAAGCAAGCCAUUUGGCUUGAAAUUGUCAGAAAAGUAAAUGCUGUAGGGGUGGCAAAGAGGAGUUUGAGCGAAGUAAAAGACAAAUGGCGUAACAUGUGUCGGGAGGCCAAAAUGAAAUUUACCGAGAACAAAAGACAGAUGUCAAAGACAGGAGGAGGGCCUCCACCCAUCCCUCUUUCCCAGACAAUGCAGGAUGUUGUUGACAUGUAUAAGGAUGCCAGUUCCUUCCAUGGGAUUGAGGGGGGCAUUGAAACCUCAAUGCCUGGCUGUUCUGUAAUAUCCUCCAUGGCAGUAUCUCCAACUCAGACUGUUACUAAGGAUCAUAAUGUGGACUUUUGGCAAGAUGCUUGAGAGAACCUUCCUGUGCCACCCCAAUCUCCAGCAAGUCAUGCAUUCAUUGUCAUGGAGACACUCUUAGAGGAACCCCUUUCCCCACCUAGUCCACCAAGACAACUAUGUGCCUCAUCAUUGCCUGUCAGUACAUGUAGUAGAGAUCCAAACCAAGGAAAAGAGAG